rnacentral:rRNA from 1 species
ACCUCAAAUCAGGUAGGACUACCCGCUGAACUUAAGCAUAUCAAUAAGCGGAGGAAAAGAAACUAACAAGGAUUCCCCUAGUAACUGCGAGUGAAGCGGGAAGAGCUCAAAUUUUGAAUCUGGCAGUCCUUGGCUGUCCGAGUUGUAAUCUAGAGAAGUGUUUUCCGCGCCGGACCGUGUAUAAGUCUCCUGGAAGGGAGCGUCGUAGAGGGUGAGAAUCCCGUCUUUGACACGGACUACCAGUGCUAUGUGAUGCGCUCUCGACGAGUCGAGUUGUUUGGGAAUGCAGCUCAAAACGGGUGGUAAACUCCAUCUAAAGCUAAAUACAGGCGAGAGACCGAUAGCGAACAAGUACCGUGAGGGAAAGAUGAAAAGAACUUUGGAAAGAGAGUUAAACAGUACGUGAAAUUGCUGAAAGGGAAACGCUUGAUGUCAGUCACGUUGGCUGGGGAUCAACCUUGCUUCUCGCUGGGUGUACUUCCCGGUCGACGGGUCAGCAUCAGUUUCAGUCGCCGUACAAGGRUGAGGGGAACGUGGCACUCCUCGGAGUGUGUUAUAGCCUUUCGUCAUAUGCGGCGGUCGGGACUGAGGUGCUCAGCACAGCUUCUUGCUUGUGCUCAGGAUGCUGGCAUAAUGGCCUUAAGCGACCCGUCUG